CACUAUGGCCAUACCACCCUGAACGUGCCUGAUCUCGUCUGAUCUCAGAAGCUAACCAGGGUUGGCCUGGUUAGUACUUGGAUGGAAUAUCCAUUCCAGAGUUAGAGAUACACUAA
ensembl:rRNA 5S_rRNA 5S ribosomal RNA